CCAAAUUUUGCAUGUAAAAUUGUAAAUGCACAUAACGAUGAGGAUCGUGCUUACACCAAUCCAAACAUUCACGGAUUUUUCCAAAUUUUAAGAUUUUUGAAAUUCAUUUUAAAAUUUGAAUAACAUGUUAGAAAGGUGGAUCGAUUGGUAUACAAGUGUAUGAACAAUUUUCAUUCUUAUGUGCGUUUCCAAACAAAAUCUGAAGGAGAUCAAUCAACAUGAGAUUUCGGUACCAUGAUACUACCAUCCGAAUGUCUUUUAACUUUCUGGACUUAUGUUAUCCUCAUAAUUUCGCAGUGGAUGUUGAGCGCGCAAACGGAAUUCCCGCCUAUUUAUGCAAAUCAGACGAUUUGCGUACAGAAUAAUAAUAAGCAAUCCAAAAAAGUAAAGUGCGCGAAAGCGAAAGUUUCGAUCCCGUGGUCCCGUGGACAUGCACAAAUUUAGUGCUAUUAACCAGGACAUUGUCCUUAAUAACAAUCCUCCUGUCAACCGUGUUACUGCUUUACCGAUAUCUGUCAAAAAGGUUUCUCGUGGACUUCGUGAGCAAGACAGGAAAACUGGAUAUUUUAAGAAAAAGUGAAAAUAAAAAAAAGCUGGUGAAAUUCUGUUACUUAAUCGAUUAAAACUUCGACAAAAAGAAACUGCGCGUUUUCAAAGGCUCUCAACGACAUGAAUGCACAUCCACAACGAAAAAUACGACCGCACAAACAGUAAAUUCUAAAAGAUUCUUUUAGCGCAAAUUCAAGUCCGAAGAAUGAAAGCCCAAGAGCCAACCGAACACCAGGACGUGACCGUGAUAAAGCGGCACAAUCUGCGAAUCAACCGGUAACGUCAACCUUCCCCAUCGGCCCAAGAACUUUCUGAAGAGGUCAAAAACAGCAUAAUCUCGCUAGCAAACCGGAAUCGCAGUUCCCUGUUUAAAAAUUAUGCCGUCCAUACUUUCAAACACCCGGCCAAAAGCUGACGUUAACCGACAUCGGAACGCGCUACCGAUUUCUUUGUUAUUGGCAUUUCAGCGGUCACCGCAGUGAUCCUCAUCGUUUCCACCCGCACUGGCUCAGAUGCCAAGACUUCUCGUUUUGGUUGCACAAAAUUCAAUCCAGUCUCAUUGUAGGUCGCAAACCUGACAUCUUUGAACAAUCCGUCCAACACAAUCCCGUCUUUUCCUGCCGUACAAAUAUCCUCAUCCGUCCGGUUGUCAGCGCAGUUCAUUCCCAGCCGAUGGAACAUGAAGCCCAACCGCCGGUCCUCCAUUCGAAAAACAUUCCAAGUACUCGAAGGUCGUGAUUGUGCCCACCUGCAAAUAUGCCAUCGUCGUGGCUGGGUAGAAAUUGGCCGCCAUGGGAACGUCAUGUGACACCGAACGGCGAAUCAUCUGGAACCCAUUGGAAUCGGUAUAAAAGGUCAUAUUGCUCCGCACAUCAGAGCUAAUCCUCAGCACAAUCUCCGAAUUCGGCAACGAUGUCAACUCCGUAAUGGUCUCCAUCUCCAUAAUCCGACCGUGGUCGGCUGUGGUAUUGUAAAUUCGCGUUACGUGCAGUAUGUUCUUUGAUCCGAUCGACUGCACCUCGGUGAACAGGGGCCCUUCGAUGACCCGCACCGUUCGUGGAUACGGAUGAAUAUCGGCGAUCCCGUUGGGAAUAAACAGGUCACGGCUUCCAAGAGACCCGUUUCCGGGGAGAAGUGAGCGGAAAAGUGAGGAGUGACAACGUUAAUCAAAUUGUCGGUACCCAUGGAUUUAAUCGUGAAUCCCGGGAUCUUCCCUUUCAGUGGGUGAGUACUGCGGAUCACGGAGCCGGAGCGCUCCGCAAUCCUGACCUUUUCGGAGCGCUUUCCCAAGGAACGGAUGGUAAUGGCUUUAAGAGCUAAGGGAUCGAGAGUUAAGGAAAAAGAGAUGCGAACAAUGUCGAAGAAAUCCCCGCUGGUGUCCAAGUCGUUGAGGGCCGGCGAGACUUGGUAUGGAAUUGUCUUGCCGUUGGAGUCCGUGAGCUGGACGUUCUGGGUUUCCACAAACAAAUGGAUGGUCACUUUGCGCGACCGGGAAAGAGAAUUAAAGAUGAAGAUGCGACGUUCUUUGUCGGUUGCACCAAAGCGGAUAGGCGAUUUCACCGAAUUACCGCAUGCGCCAUCAGCAAUCCAUUCUGCAGCUUUUCACCGUAAUCCAUCGCCACAUAGCGUUUGGACGUGCCGGUUAUGGCGUCGUGGUGUUGAAACAGUCCCAGUCCGAUUGCCGCCCGAUUCAGUCCUAUGAGAUCCUCGGCAAACAAGGAGGUGUUGCGGUUGGCCGAAUGUGUGGAAAGUCGCACCAAUGAGUACAUAAUUUCAGCGGUGCGCAGAUCGCGCUCUAGUUCUCGGGACAUUUGCUUAUAGAACGGACGUGAGGUAAAGUAGCCGGUCCAGUAAUCCUCAAAUUUGUCGGCGUAUGGAAAAAAGUCGCCUUGGACUCGAGGGACGGAUGAGGGUGGAGUGGUCCACGUGGUGUCCAGACGUGAGGCCACGGCGGCAUAGUAGUCUUUCAGUGUGCCAAACUGGACGCGCGCCUUGUUGGCGGGGUUGCCGUUAAUUUCCUAUGAUAAACCAUUCCCAGCAUAACUUACCGUGGGAAAAUUGUGACGCAAAUAACAAAAGUCUGAUAAUAAAAUUAACUGUGACUAUCUCGACAGAUAUAAUUAAACUGGAUA